rnacentral:rRNA from 1 species
GACGAACGCUGGCGGCGUGCUUAACACAUGCAAGUCGAACGGAAAGGCUCCAGCUUGCUGGAGUACUCGAGUGGCGAACGGGUGAGUAACACGUGGGUAAUCUGCCCUGCACUCUGGGAUAAGCCUGGGAAACUGGGUCUAAUACUGGAUAUGACCUUUCUCCUUAUGGGGUUUGGUGGAAAGUUUUUCGGUGUAGGAUGAGCCCGCGGCCUAUCAGCUUGUUGGUGGGGUGAUGGCCUACCAAGGCGACGACGGGUAGCCGGCCUGAGAGGGUGAUCGGCCACAUGGGGACUGAGAUACGGCCCAGACUCCUACGGGAGGCAGCAGUGGGGAAUAUUGCACAAUGGGCGGAAGCCUGAUGCAGCGACGCCGCGUGAGGGAUGACGGCCUUCGGGUUGUAAACCUCUUUCAGCAGGGACGAAGCGUAAGUGACGGUACCUGCAGAAGAAGCACCGGCUAACUACGUG